rnacentral:lncRNA from 1 species
GAGAAUACAGAAAUGCAAAGAAUUUGCAGAAGGCGUAACAGCUGCAGCAAAAAAAAAAAGAAAAAAAAAAAAAAAAAAAAAAAAGAAAAAAAAAAAAGGGUUUUAUGGUCCCCAAGACAUAACGUUUUAUAUUUUGUGUAAAAAUGGACUAAUAUUAUAUAAUAUGGAGAGAAACUUGCACAAAGCACUGAUGCCAGAAAGCAGACAAAUGAUAACACCAAAUCUUUAAUCAAGAAAUUGAAUAAAGCUCUGAAUUGAAAAGAUCAAGUAAAGAUUAUGCAAAAUGCCCAUUUCAAAUGACCACAUCCAUUACAAUUUCCCUGAUCGCUUCACGGAGCUUGACCACUUUCACUUCCAUAACCACUUCCCUGAUCUUGACCUCUUCUCUGAUCACUUCCACAGCUACUUGCACUUCCAUAACUACUUCCCUGAUCACUUCCCUGAGCUUGACCUCUUCCCUGAUCACUUCCCUGAGCUUGACUGCUUUCCUUAUCACUUCCCUGAGCUUGACCACUUCCAUAACUGCUUCCGCUUCCAUAACUGCUUCCCUGAGCUUGACUGCUUCCCGGAUCACGUCCCGGAGCUUGACCGCUUCCACGUCCAUAACUGCUUCCAUGAGCUUGACCGCUUCCCUGAUCACUUCCCUGAGCUUGACCGCUUCCACUUCCAUAACUGCUUCCCUGAUCACUUCCUUGAGCUUGACCGCUUCCACUUCCCUGAGCU